AUCACCACAAGUUCAGGGCCAGCCCAGGCUACAUAUCCAUACAUAACAAGUUGGCUCCAAGGACAACUGUGCAUGAUGGAGGAAAACAGCAGAAUCAAUAAGAACACACACACAAAAAAAAAAAAAGCAAAGAGGGAGAGCAAGCCCCUCUCCCUCCUGGUAUUGCGUGCAGGCUGCCUGGCCCAGGGCAGCUAUAGCACUCACAGCCAUAAUCCCAGCGUUGGACCGAGAGUCAAUCUCAAACUCUAGAAGUCUGCCUCGUGAUGCAUGAGGCUUUGGGAGGACAUCCAGACACACCAUAACGCUCGUGUUGCUAAUCUCUUCGUGUGCAUAUUGACCACCUGUGCGCAUCUUUGGAGACUUUUGAAAUACUUUGCUCAUGUAAAAAAAAUUUUCUAUCUGA